GAAUUCACUAGUGAUUUGGCGGCGUGGNUAAGACAUGCAAGUCGAACGAGAGAAUUGCUAGCUUGCUAAUAAUUCUCUAGUGGCGCACGGGUGAGUAACACGUGAGUAACCUGCCCCCGAGAGCGGGAUAGCCCUGGGAAACUGGGAUUAAUACCGCAUAGUAUCGAAAGAUUAAAGCAGCAAUGCGCUUGGGGAUGGGCUCGCGGCCUAUUAGUUAGUUGGUGAGGUAACGGCUCACCAAGGCGAUGACGGGUAGCCGGUCUGAGAGGAUGUCCGGCCACACUGGAACUGAGACACGGUCCAGACACCUACGGGUGGCAGCAGUCGAGAAUCAUUCACAAUGGGGGAAACCCUGAUGGUGCGACGCCGCGUGGGGGAAUGAAGGUCUUCGGAUUGUAAACCCCUGUCAUGUGGGAGCAAAUUAAAAAGAUAGUACCACAAGAGGAAGAGACGGCUAACUCUGUGCCAGCAGCCGCGGUAAUACAGAGGUCUCAAGCGUUGUUCGGAAUCACUGGGCGUAAAGCGUGCGUAGGCUGUUUCGUAAGUCGUGUGUGAAAGGCGCGGGCUCAACCCGCGGACGGCACAUGAUACUGCGAGACUAGAGUAAUGGAGGGGGAACCGGAAUUCACGGUGUAGAAUCGAAU
rnacentral:rRNA from 1 species